rnacentral:rRNA from 1 species
AGCGAACGCUGGCGGCAGGCCUAACACAUGCAAGUCGAACGGAUCCUUCGGGAUUAGUGGCGGACGGGUGAGUAACACGUGGGAACGUGCCCCUUGGUUCGGAACAACUCAGGGAAACUUGAGCUAAUACCGGAUGUGCCCUUCGGGGGAAAGAUUUAUCGCCAUUGGAGCGGCCCGCGUCUGAUUAGCUAGUUGGUGAGGUAAAGGCUCACCAAGGCGACGAUCAGUAGCUGGUCUGAGAGGAUGAUCAGCCACAUUGGGACUGAGACACGGCCCAAACUCCUACGGGAGGCAGCAGUGGGGAAUCUUGCGCAAUGGGCGAAAGCCUGACGCAGCCAUGCCGCGUGAAUGAUGGAGGUCUUAGGAUUGUAAAAUUCUUUCACCGGGGACGAUAAUGACGGUACCCGGAGAAGAAGCCCCGGCUAACUUCGUGCCAGCCGCCGCGGUAAGAC